rnacentral:rRNA from 1 species
UACGGAAGGCAGCAGUGGGGAAUAUUGCACAAUGGGCGAAAGCCUGAUGCAGCUAUGCCGCGUGUAUGAAGAAGGCCUUAGGGUUGUAAAGUACUUUCAUCGGGAAGGAAAAACAAAACUAAUAAUUUUAUUUCUUGACGUUACCCGAAAAAGAAGCACCGGCUAACUCCGUGCCAGCAGCCGCGGUAAUACGGAGGGUGCUAGCGUUAAUCAGAAUUACUGGGCGUAAAGAGCACGUAGGUGGUUUUUUUAAGUCAGAUGUGAAAUCCCUGGGCUUAACCUAGGAACUGCAUUUUGAAACUGAAAUACUAGAGUAUCGUAGAGGGAGGUAGAAUUCUAGGUGUAGCGGUGAAAUGCGUAGAUAUCUGGAGGAAUACCUGUGGCGAAAGCGGCCUCCUAAACGAAUACUGACACUGAGGUGCGAAAGCGUGGGGAGCAAAACAGGGAUUAGAUACC